rnacentral:rRNA from 1 species
UACAGAGGGUGCAAGCGUUAAUCGGAAUUACUGGGCGUAAAGCGUGUGUAGGUGGUUUCCUAAGUCAGGUGUGAAAUCCCAGGGCUCAACCCUGGAACUGCAUUUGAUACUGGGAGACUAGAGUGUGGAAGAGGAUGGUGGAAUUCCCGGUGUAGCGGUGAAAUGCUUAGAGAUCGUCCAGAACACCGAUAGCGAAGGCAGCUUACUAAAGAAUAACUGACGCUGAGGCACGAAAGUGUGGGGAUCAAACAGG